ensembl:lncRNA
GCAGCCUACCAGGCUCCUUCGUGCAUAGGAUUUUCCAGGAGAGACACAUGGCUUGGAAGAGUUCCUCCUUCCUUCUGGGGAGCAUUGUCCUGAGUGUGACACCUGGAAGUUUACCAACCAGCUUACAACCCUGUGAGGAGCUGAGGGCCAGGCAGAGAGACAGAGCCAAAGGAUGAAGGCUCUGAGCCCCUGCAUUUUGCAAGCCCGAAGCUGUCUGACCUCAGCAGCUCUCGUUGGGAUGUCAGCUUCAUGACCCAGCCUGGCCUGUUCAAUGCUGGAUCCCUGGUGCAUAGAAACAUAUCUGGCUUAGAACAGCCGCUCAAGCUACACUUCUGGUUUACAUGAAUCAGACAAGGCCAUCUCUCCUGACUCUAUCACUCCUGCUAAUCACCCUCAUGUUUUAUAUUUAAAAAGUAGAGUCUGAUACGCAGGAAAUGCCAAUCCUAGGCAAUCAGGAAGUUCUUCAUGUUGGAGACCUGGUAUCUGCACAAUUUCAACAGAAAACCUUACUUUUUAGAGAGGUGGAAAUCAUAUGUGGGUCCAGUCAGAGCCUCAGGGGUUUCCAGUUUCAGUCAAACAAGGAAGUGAGGAUCAAAGAGAACCUGAUGGAUGCAGGCACUGACUCUGGCGUGAAUCAGAAUCACCUGGAACCUUGUUUCAAUAAUUCAGACGCCUGGCUCCACCGCUGAGACUCUGAUUUAAUGGGUUAACCAUGGGGCCCAGGCCUCUGAAUUGUUAACAAGCCACCCAGGUGAUUUUAACAAGCCACCUGUGUUUUGAGAAUGACCUGCCUAGGGCCUGCGGGAGGAGUCUGAAUUGAGGAAGACGGCUGGAUUCAGCUGCCCUGGGGCCGGGAGGGACAGAGGCCUGGGAGAUGGUGCCAGUCUCUGUUUGGGUACAGUUGCACCAGAUCAAGCAUGAAGAGCAAGCAGUCGGGCUUCACUGGUGGCUCAGUGGUAAAGAAUCCACCUCCCACUGCAGGAGACAUGGGUUCCAUCCCUGAUCUGGAAAGAUCCCACAGGCCUCGGAGCAACUAAGCCCUGGUGCCACAACUACUGAAUCAGUGCUCUAGAGCCCAGGAGCUGCAACUACGGAGCCCAUGUGCUGUGACUUCUGAAACCCUCGUCCCCUAGAGCCCAUGCUCUGCCAACAAAAGAAUCCACCGCAAUGAGAAGCCCCUGAACUGCAACCAAGAGUAGCCCCUGCUCUCCUGCAACUAGAGUAAAGCAUUUGCAGCAAUGAAGACCCAGCACAGACAAAAAUAAAUAAAAUUAUUAAAAGAAAAAAGAGCAAACCAUCACCACAGUUUAGGACCCGCACCCUCCAAGAGGCAGCCGAGCAUUUGACCUUUCACCCUGCGCUGUGACCUCUGUGGUCAUUUCUGGGAGAAAAUAUGGACGUGGCCUGAGUUGCUGUGAGUUCUGCUGUGGCUGGGGAGGAUGUUCAGAACAGGAGAUAGUCUGGCCUACUGCAAGUAUCUAAAAAUAGAGCCAAGCCAGCGAGAAGCCACCUGGGUAGGGACCCAGAGGCCCUUGCAGGUGAUGGAGAGGCCUCUGAGGCAUUGCAGAGACAACAGAGAGGCCUCGGAGGCGAGGAGUCCUCUGUAAGUCACAGCUUCCUUUCCACACUGCCUCUGGUAGCACCCACCGCGUCAGGCACCUACAUGACUUGACCCCAAGAAAAAGCCACUCUUCUCCAGAGCAGCCAGUCAGGCUGGCAGGGUUCGGUCUCACUGCCAUGAGUUGGGCCCCAGUGGUCCUUGGGAGCGUACCCUGGCACACCAGGAGGGCUUUGUUUUCAGUCCUAAUAGGACGGGUCCCAUGGAAUAGCUGAAGCAAGUGCUUAAAACAGAGGGCCCUGUUUCCUGCUCCCACCCUGCCCCUGGCUCACCCUGCUUUCAGCCCCACCUGCUGUCGGCCUGCCAGGAAGCAGACAACUGACUGCACCUGGGCAGAAGGGGAGACAUUAUUGCAGUGAAAGUACCCAAGACGAAAGGAGCUUAAAUAGAUGUGUAUGUCAGAAAACAGAGCUCUUGGAGGCAUGGCUGUGUGUGUGUGUGUGUGUGUAUGCACGCGUACAUGCACUUUAUCCUGGAAUAAAUUUUUAUUGAGCAUGUACCACGUUGAUGAGGAGGAAAUGGCAAUCCACUCCAGUAUUCUUGCCUGGAAAAUCCCAUGGACAGAGGAGCCUGAUGGGCUACAGUCCAUGGGGUUUCAAAGAAUUGGACAUGACUGAGCAUGCAUGCAUGCACUAUGUUGAUAGUUCCAUGCUAGGAACCAUUUGAGUCCCAAAAGAGCAUGCCUGGUCCCUGCUCCUGAAGAACUGACAAUAGAAAUCACUCGUUCACUUCCUGAGCCUGACUGUGUGCCAGGCACUAUUCUCAGUGUCUUACAAUGUCCUAACUCAUUUCUUUUUCACAGCUAUCUUCUGCAGUGGUUACAAGGUAGUCUCAAUUAUUAUUAUUCCUAUUCUAAAGAUGACACUGGGGCAGAGAGAGACUAUGCUAUUUGCCCUGGGUCACAACUUGCAAGGGAUUGAGCUGGCAUGUGAAUUGGCACCUGGAGCUGGGCCAUCACCCUGGCACUAAACUGUCCUCAAGGUGGUUGCCACAGCCUGGGGGCUAGGAAGAUGCUUCCUGAGGCCCCUUCCUCCUCCUGGGAGUUCAUGAAGUAAUGAGAUUGGUUUUGGUAUAAAAAUAGAGCCAUAGGCUCUCAAGUUUAAAGGGAACUCAAAUGGUGUGGCAUGAACAACCCAGCCAUUCUCUGGAACUUCGUAUCCAAAUAAGAGUCACCCUUUCACCUUUAGAAGUGAUGCUGUCAUGGCUCCAAACAUUCUUGGCUUUCCAGUUUUGGAGUUGCUUCCAGAUGCAGUUUUUGAGCACGACAAGAAGUCUCCAGAGAGUUACAUUAAAAAAAAAAACACAAAACUUUUUUUUUCCAAACACAGUGUUAUUCCCUACUUUAUCCUACAAAUUAUUUUCCAGACUUAACUCUGAAUACCUUUUAACUAUUUCUGAAAGUCAGAUCUGCUGUAAACUGUUCAGGGCUUUGCCACCACUGAGGUUACUCAAAAGAAUACACCAGAGGCUCUAAAAGCUAUUUCAUGGGAAAAGUUAAACAAAAUCAAACCCUCUGAGCAGUGGCAGCUUGGUUAGAGGUGGGCAGGAAGGUAUCAUCUCCUGUUGGGACCGUUGGAGGAGAGUUGGAUGCCUCAAUUACCCUUGCUGGUUAGAAAAUCAAUCUCACUGCCUUAUGGUCAUCUUUCGUCCACUCCUAGCAGACUAGGUUGUCUGCUCUGGAGGCACAUGUCCAUUUUGCCCACUAUUGUUGUUCCAGCACCUAGCACAAUGCCUGAUAUAUAGUAGAUGCUCAAUAAACGCUUGUUAGAUGAAUGAAUGAAUUGAUGCACCAAGUAAUAUUAGGAGCUUUAACCAGCAAAGCAAGAUUGUAGGCAGUGUAUAUCUGUCGGGUAUCAUCAGAAUUUGUAGACAGUUACCUCCCCAGAGAAAUGAAAAAGAACACAUUUGCCAGAUGCAAAGUAUUUCCCCUCAAAGUGGCUUCAGGGGUUCAGUGUGUUGCUGAUGAAGACUCAGGAGGCCCUGAGGGCCAUUCAAGGGUGUACUAUCAGAUUUAGAACUAAAAGGGCUUAUAAGUGAAUUAAUGGUUUUGUAAUUUGGUUAAGGGCUUCCCAGGUGGCUCAGUGGUAAAGACAUCCCCUGCAAUGCAGGAAAUGUGGGUUUGAUCCCUGGGUUGGAAAGAUCCCCUGGAGAAGAAAACAGAAACCCACUCCAGUAUUCUUGCCUGGGAAAUCUCAUGGACAGAGGAGCCUUGUGCACUACAGUCCAUGGAGUCACAAAAGAGUCAGACAUGACUUAGCAACUAAAGAACAAUGAUAACUUGGCUAAAGACAGGAUGUUCAACAGAGUGCAGGUGGGGAAAUCUACCUGCAAUUUGGAAAAAAAGGCAGUUGAAGGGCAAAAAACUAGUUGGUGUGAUCUCUAGUGAAGGAUCCCAGAGUGAUUGUUUUUCAAGGAGGCUUUCUGAGCAUGUGCAUCUGAUGGUCUAGUUGAAUUGCUAGGGAAUUGACUUAAGGAGUCGAUUUUCCUAAGCAUGAUCAACUCCAGAGGCACUGAUAAUGUCAU